rnacentral:rRNA from 1 species
GACGAACGCUGGCGGCGUGCUUAACACAUGCAAGUCGAACGAUGAAGCCCAGCUUGCUGGGUGGAUUAGUGGCGAACGGGUGAGUAACACGUGGGCAACCUGCCCCAAACUCUGGGAUAACUCCUCGAAAGAGGUGCUAAUACCGGAUACGAACUAGACAGACAUCUGUACUAGUUGGAAAGUUUUUCGGUUUGGGAUGGGCCCGCGGCCUAUCAGCUUGUUGGUGAGGUAACGGCUCACCAAGGCUACGACGGGUAACCGGCCUGAGAGGGCGACCGGUCACACUGGGACUGAGACACGGCCCAGACUCCUACGGGAGGCAGCAGUGGGGAAUAUUGCGCAAUGGGCGGAAGCCUGACGCAGCGACGCCGCGUGAGGGAUGAAGGUCUUCGGAUCGUAAACCUCUUUCAGUAGGGACGAAGCGAAAGUGACGGUACCUAAAGAAGAAGCACCGGCUAACUACGUGCCAGCCGCCGCCGUAA